rnacentral:lncRNA from 1 species
UAUUGUGUUAUUUUGCAUGUUAUGAGUCCUGUUAGUUUUAUUACUUCAUGGAUUACAGUUUUUGUUAAUUUCACUUAUACAUGUUUGGAUGGCAGCAUGGGAAAGCUGGCUGCACCAGGCAUCACUCUCACUCGAUUUUGGGUGCCUGGGCUCGGAUUUACAUCCAUGGCAGGUGCUCCCAUGCCAGGGCCGCAUCCGAACAUGUCUUAGUGGUAGCCGCAUCCCAGUAGUGAUGGCCAUGAGGGGUUUGGGGAUGAAGAUCAGAGGGGCAUGAGGGCAGUAAAGAUAAUGGAAAUUUGUUUUGGGGGGAGCUGAGCAUUCUUAAUCUGGUUUAUUUACUUGCUCCAAAUAUGAAUUUUAAAAUUGUCAAAACAAGUUGAGAUGGAACCAACUGGAGAAGUAAAUUUUAUUUUAAGAGUAGUUUGGUUUGCCUACUUUAGAUGGCAAAAAGGAAACUACUGGGAAAGCAACUGGCAACUGGCAAUACCAUUCAUCCAUUUUAUCCUAAACAACCAGUUUUGCUCCAGAAAGCAAGCGAAUGGAAUAUGAAGAAAAUAGUCUUCUGGAAAGACAAAGUUCUUUUGUUUACAUAGUUUCUCUCUUUCACUUGGUCUUCUGAAGCUAACUGCUGUGAACUGUCAUUUUCUUAAUUGGGCUCACCCUAGAAGGGUAGCAAUAUGGUCACAUACAUGGGCCUCAUGGGCCUAAACCUUAUACUCCAACACCCCCCCGCAGUCUGGACUACCGGCACAGCGGAGUUUAAGACUGGACAAGAAAGAAAACACAUAACACACAAUACCCCCCCGCAGCCACAACUAGCCACCGGUGACGUUGAGGCUGGAGCGAAACUCGGCGAAAGUCGAGGAAGGGAGGCCCUUGGUGAAGAUGUCCGCAAACUGUGAGGUGGUCGGGACGUGGAGGACCCGGACGUCGCCGAUGGCCACAUGGUCGCGGACGAAGUGCAAGUCGAUCUCCACAUGCUUGGUCCGCUGGUGCUGCACAGGGUUGGUGGAGAGAUAGACGGCGCUGACGUUGUCGCAGUAGACAAGUGAGCUCCUGGCGAGGGGGCGGUGAAGCUCAGCCAGUAGCUGGCAGAGCCAAGCAGCCUCGGCCACACCAUUGGCAACGGCGCGGUACUCCGCCUCGGCACUGGAGCGUGAGACCACCGGCUGUCGCUUGGACGACCACGAGACAAGGUUGCCGCCCAGGAAGACAGCGUAGCCGGAGGUGGACCUGCGGGUGUCGGGGCAGCCCGCCCAAUCAGCGUCGGUGUAGACAACCAGCUCGGCAGAGGAGGACCGGCUGAGGAGCAGCCCAUAGCCUAGAGUGCCACGGAGGUACCGGAGGAGCCGCUUCAUAGCAGCAAGGUGGGGCUCCCGCGGAGCAUGCAUGUAGAGGCAGAGCUGCUGCACGGCGUAGGUGAUGUCAGGCCGUGUGAAGGUGAGGUACUGGAGCGCGCCAGCAAGACUCCGGUAGGCGGUAGAGUCCUCUGGCCCAAGCAUCGGACCCUCUGCCUCUGACAGCUUGCCCUGGGUAUCGACCGGAGUAGAACAAGACUUGCAGUCAGUCAUCCCUGCUCGCUCGAGAAUGUCACAAGUGAACUGCCGCUGGUGGAGGAACAAGCCUGAAGGUCGGGGCUCAACAGUGACACCGAGGAAGUGAUGGAGCAGACCAAGAUCCUUCAUAGCAAAUUCCUUCUGGAGAGUGGUAAUGAUGCGCUGGAGCAGUGACUCGCUGCAGGCGGUGAGAACAAUGUCAUCCACAUAGAGGAGCAGGUAAGCAGUCUCACCCCCAUGGUGGUAUAUGAACAGUGAGGUGUCGGACUUGGCCUCCGUGAACCCAAGAGUCUGCAGGAAGGUAGAGAACCGAGAAUACCACGCCCGAGGUGCCUGCUUGAGACCGUAGAGAGACUUGUUGAGCCGGCAGACCAAGUCAGGGCGAGAAGAAUCCACGAAACCGGCCGGCUGACUGCAGUAGACUGUCUCGGUCAGAGUGCCAUGGAGGAAGGCAUUCUUGACAUCCAGCUGAUGCACAGGCCAGGAGCGCUCGAGAGCCACAGAUAGUACGGUGCGGACGGUAGCUGGCUUCACCACUGGACUGAAGGUCUCAUCAUAGUCAAUGCCGGGCCGCUGACUGAAACCCCGGAGGACCCAGCGAGCCUUGUAGCGCUCCAAGGAACCAUCAGCACGCCGCUUGUGCGUCCAGAUCCACUUGCCGGUGACAACGUUAGAGGCCGACGGACGGGGCACCAGAUCCCACGUCUGGUUAGCGAGGAGGGCCGCGUACUCCUCUUCCAUCGCACGGCGCCAGUGAGGAUCUGACAAGGCCUCGCGGACGGAAGAGGGUACCGGAGAGAUCCCCGUCUCGCAGGUAGCAGCGGUGAGGGCCCACGGCCGGGAUGCCUGCCUCGUCACCAUUGGGUGAGUGUGACGAGGAUCCCGGUGAAGUAGAGGCGGGUGGUACACCGGCGGCUCGGCGCGAGAGCGCCUCGGGGCCGGAGGCGGCAUGGACGGGUGCUCCGCCGGAGGUGGCGGGGUCGACGGCGGAGCCCGUACCGGCGAGGGCGGCGACGGAGCCAGCGACACCGGCUGCAGAGGCGGAGCCGGCUCUCGCCGCCGCUGGUAGACGAGGCCGAAGCGCCGGGGAGGUGAGGACGGGGCGCGCGGUCCCGCGAUCGGGGCGACUACUUCGGGCACAACGGGAGGCAGCGCAACCACUGGUAGCGGUGGAGGAAGCUCUGGGGCUGCCUCUGUCGUGCCAGGUACAGGAGGGUCCUGGCUCGAAGGACCACCAGGAGAGCGUGCCGGAGCAAGACCUGCAGGGUAUAGUGGAAACGUUGGUGGAACCACCGGGUCAGUGGGAAAAAAAGAAACCUCCGCAGGGUCAGCAGGAGGUGUGGAGGUGGGGGUGGUGGAGAAAGGGAAUGCCGACUCGUCAAACACGACGUGGCGAGAGAUGAGGACACGGCGAGAAGAGAGGUCCAAGCAACGGUACCCCUUAUGCUCAGGGGAGUAACCCAGGAAGAUACAGAGAGUAGAACGGGGGGCAAGCUUAUGAGGAGAAGUGGCAGCUGUGUUGGGGUAGCAAGCGCACCCAAACACACGAAGGUGAUCGUAGCGGGGAGGGGUACCGAAAAGAGCGUGGUGUGGAGUGGGCGCAGGGGAAGCCGUGGAGGGCAAGCGGUUAAGGAGAUAGGUGGCGGUGUGGAGGCUCUCAGCCCAGAAGCGAGCGGGAAGCGAGGCCUGUAACAGAAGGGUGCGCAUGACAUCGUUUGUGGUGCGAAUCAUGCGCUCAGCCUUGCCGUUCUGAGGGGAGGUGUAAGGGCAAGACAUGCGCAACUGGACACCACAGGAGAGGAAGAAGGAGCGAGCGGUGGUGUUAUCAAACUCACGCCCGUUGUCACACUGCACGGCCUUGAUGGUGAGGCCGAACUGGGUGGACACCCAUGCAAAGAAGUGGCGAAGAGUGGUGAAUGUAUCGGACUUGGCACGCAAGGGAAAAGUCCAAGAGUAAUGGGAGAAGUCAUCAACCACCACCAAGUAGUAUUUGUAGCCAGACAUACUAAGAACAGGAGAUGUCCACAGGUCGCAAUGGAUAAGAUCAAAGAUGUGAGCCGCAUGGGAGGAGGAGGUAGGGAAAGGAAGUCUAACAUGACGGCCCAACUGGCAUGCAUGACACAAAUGCUCAUCAGGAGUGCGGGGGCAAGGCACAGCGGAACUGCGACUGAGCUGGGACAAAGCAGUGCUGCCAGGAUGGCCAAGGCGACGGUGCCACGUAGUGGAGGUGGUAGUGAAGGCAGAAGCCGAAGGGGGUGAAUAAGAAGGCAAAGGAGGUGCAGCGGAAACCGGGAAACGAAGGGUGUAGAGAGGCCCAGUGCUGUCACAACGGAGAAGAGGACGCCGGGAAGCCAAUUCCCGCACGGUGAGGCCAGAGGGGUCGAACUCAACCGAACAAGAGUUGUCAGUCGUGAAGCGGCGAAUAGAGAGGAGGUUGUGAACCAUACCGGGAGCCACAAGAACAUCGGGGAUAUGAAAAGAGCCAUGGGAAUUGGCAGUGCCUACGGAGGAGACAGGAAUGCAGGUGCCAUUAGCGACCAUGAUGGAAGAAGGACAAGAAGGGUGGGGAGGACUGAUAGAAGAGAGGAGACUCGCAUCGGGCGUGAUAUGGAAGGUGGCGCCCGAGUCAGCGAUCCAGUCAGGACUGACUGGUCGCAGCCCUGCGGCAGGAGGAGCCGCGGGCGAAGGUUUGGCGGUGGAGAGGAAUGAGGAAGCCGGUGUGGAAGGAGACGCAGCUCCUCUAGGCACAGCGGCCAUGGCCCGCGCACGUAGAGCUGUUGUGUCCGACAACAGAGGCGCCGACCUGCCGUCGCCCCACAUGGUCGACCACGGGUGGCGGAAAGAUGCCCAGGCCGCCGGGUCCCAUCCGACAGGCACUGGCAAGGCACUCGGAGGUGGAGGCCACAGAGGCGCUGAGAGACUCCACCCGCCUCCACCGCGGUGGCGACGGUGGCUGCCACGGCCCCCCCAACCCCCGCUUGGCUCGGAGGGAGGAGGAGCAAGAAGAGACGAGGUCCUGUCCGCCGCCGCAGCGGCCCGGUCAGCGGCGAGGGUGGUGACCGCCGCGGCUGCGUCAGCACGCGGCAAGCCCAGUCCGGCAGCGUCAGCCCAGGGCAUGCCCAGUCCGGCAGCCACUGCAGCAGGCAUGGCGGCGACGGCCGCGUCCCCGGAGCCGGAGGUCACCCCGACAUGCAUGCGCACAUGGCCGUCCGCAGCAGCAGCGCGGGCAGCGGUGAGGGCAGUGGCGAGGGCGGAGUGUGGUGGAGGAAGGGCAGCACCCGCGCCCAGGGGCGGCGCGCCCGCAGCUGCGCUCAGGGCCGGCGCGCUCGCGCCCAGGGGGCCCGCGCCCAGGGAGGCCGCGCCCAGGGGGGCCGCGCGCAGGGGCGGCGCGCCCGCGCCCAGGGAGGCCGCGCGCCCGCGCCCAGGGAGGCCGCGCGCAGGGGCGGCGCGCCCGCGCCCAGGGGCGGCGCGCCCGCGCCCAGGGGGGCGGCGCGCAGGGGCGGCGCGCCCGCGCCUCGGGGGGCCGCGCCCAGGGGCGGCGCGCCCGCGCCCAGGGGGGCCGCGCCCAGGGGCGGCGCGCCCGCGCCGGCUGGUGGAGGAGGAGGGGCGGCCAUGGCCGCGGCUGCGGCGGCGCGCCGGCCGGCGGCGGCUGCUGCCUGGCGGCUGGGCUGGGAAGGGAGGGAGAAGAGAAACCCUAGCUCGAUACCAUGCUGUGAACUGUCAUUUUCUUAAUUGGGCUCACCCUAGAAGGGUAGCAAUAUGGUCACAUACAUGGGCCUCAUGGGCCUAAACCUUAUACUCCAACACCCCCCCGCAGUCUGGACUACCGGCACAGCGGAGUUCAAGACUGGACAAGAAAGAAAACACAUAACACACAAUACCCCCCCGCAGCCACAACUAGCCACCGGUGACGUUGAGGCUGGAGCGAAACUCGGCGAAAGUCGAGGAAGAGAAACCCUAGCUUUGAUACCAUGCUGUGAACUGUCAUUUUCUUAAUUGGGCUCACCCUAGAAGGGUAGCAAUAUGGUCACAUACAUGGGCCUCAUGGGCCUAAACCUUAUACUCCAACACUAACGUUUUCUUAUUAAAUCAUUUGUUGUCUACUGAUUUGAUUGCUUUAAUAGUUAAGAAACUACAGUUACAUAUUUAUAUGUAGUUCUCACCUUUGCUUUCCAAAUAAUACCCCUAUUAUUGUUGCUCUGCCAUCUUGUACAUAAAUUUCUUUCGUCUUAAUUGAGCUGCAGAGCUCCUGCCUUUGUUUCAAAAAAAAAAAAAAAAAAAAAAAACUAGCUCUGCCAUUUUAUAUAACUCAUACAGUUCUUCUGGACUCCCC